rnacentral:lncRNA from 1 species
AUGCUACUACUAACAUUUGUAUUAUGCUGCAGGUGUCAGCCACUUUUGCAGCCAGCCUGGUCACAAGUCCGGCAAUUGGCGCGUACCUGUCCCAAGCCUAUGGUGAUACACUGGUGGUGGUGCUGGCUUCAGGGGUUGCUCUACUGGAUAUUGGCUUCAUUCUGCUGGCUGUGCCAGAAUCUCUGCCGGAGGAGAUGCGCCCUGUGUCCUGGGGAGCUCCCAUCUCUUGGGAACAGGCAGAUCCAUUUGCUUCUCUCCGCAAAGUGGGCCAGGAUUCUACUGUGCUUCUCAUCUGCAUUACUGUCUUUCUUUCCUACCUUCCUGAAGCCGGCCAGUACUCCAGCUUCUUUUUGUACCUACGACAGGUCAGUCAUUGGAGUUAGACUAAGAUUCAGGUUUGGAAAUCAAAGGUUUGUAGUGUGCGUUGUAGUCUCAUGAAUUUGUUUUAUUUCCUUCCUGACUUUGCAGUAUGGGGCAGCAGCUUUUGCCCAGUGAUCAUGGGCUGGGGGAAUUUGCCACUGCUGGCUAGAAGCUUUCUCAAUGAGGGUGAAACAGUACCAGUAACCUGCUUCCUCUCUGUUAGAAAAUGUAGGAUCCCCAUGAAUGCUGGUUAACUGCACAGCCCUUAUGUGCCUUGUGAAUGCAGUCCCCAGACUAAUCACUAGCUACCUGCCCUGGACUCUGUGCUUACCCCACUGUGUCACCUUCUUUAGGCACUUGGGACAGCAUAUCCAUUCACUCAGUUACUUCUUUAGCCCAUGGAAACCUCUUCCAUCUUGUCACUGGAGAGGCUUUAAUGUUCACUUUCCCAUGAGGUGGGGGAGGGUGAAAUUGCGUAAUGCGCAAGCUACUGAUAUGUAGUAUCAGUAAGCACUAGAGAGAGCUCUCGUGGCCUGGCUUUUCUCAGGUACAACACAAAGCCCUUUGCCUGAAUAGUGUCCCCUUCUGAUGUCUUUGCAGGUCAUUGGAUUUUCCUCAGAGACUGUGGCAGCCUUUAUUGGUGUGGUUGGAAUCCUCUCCAUAUUGGCUCAGGUGAGAACCCAUUCUCUGGGU